rnacentral:sRNA from 1 species
GCUGGGCAUGGUGGUGCACGCCUAUAAUCCCAGCAACUUGGGAGGCUGAGGCAGGAGGAUCAUGAGUUCAAACCCACCUUAGCAACUUAGUGAGGCCUUAAGCCUUAGUAAGGCCUUAUUAGGCCCUGUCUCUA